rnacentral:lncRNA from 1 species
CACAACAACCUCCCCCUUUUAUUCUAUUUUUCAUUCUGUUUUCCCCCCCCCCCUUGCUCUCACUCUAUUUAACCUUCUGCCGGAGCUUUGGGACUGGCUGUGUGCCCUCUGCAAGUGCAGCAAACCCACCGUAGUGAACCGGUGGCCCUGACAGAGAGCAGAAGCAGGCUGCAUGCAUCUCCUUGUGAUGGAGCUGGCAGAGAAAAUCGGACACUGGGACAAACAACCAUAAAUCAGGACUGUCCUGAUUAAAUCAGGCAUGGCUGGCAAGAUUCAGAGCCAGCUACAGUUGGGAAGUCUGAAGGAAAGUCAUCGUCUUUCCAGUAAUUCCAGCUCCAGUUUGUUCGGUCU